rnacentral:rRNA from 1 species
AUACGGAGGGUGCAAGCGUUGUUCGGAUUUACUGGGCGUAAAGCGCGUGUAUGCGGCUUUGUAAGUCAGAUGUGAAAGCCCUUGGCUUAACCGAGGAAGUGCAUUUGAUACUGCAAGGCUUGAAUACGGGAGAGGAAAGUGGAAUUCCUAGUGUAGAGGUGAAAUUCGUAGAUAUUAGGAAGAACACCAGUGGCGAAGGCGACUUUCUGGACAGAUAUUGACGCUAAGACGCGAAAGCGUGGGGAGCAAACAGGAUUAGAAACCCCGGUAGUCC